rnacentral:rRNA from 1 species
UACAGAGGUCUCAAGCGUUGUUCGGAUUCAUUGGGCGUAAAGGGUGCGUAGGCGGCGCGGUAAGUCGGGUGUGAAAUCUCGGGGCUUAACUCCGAAACUGCAUUCGAUACUGCCGUGCUUGAGGACUGGAGAGGGGACUGGAAUUUACGGUGUAGCGGUGAAAUGCGUAGAUAUCGUAAGGAAGACCAGUGGCGAAGGCGGGUCUCUGGGCCGAUACUGACGCUGAGGAGCGAAAGCGUGGGGAGCGAACAGG